GAUGAACGCUGGCGGCGUGCUUAACACAUGCAAGUCGAACGGGAAUUACUUUAUUGAAACUUCGGUCGAUUUAAUUUAAUUCUAGUGGCGGACGGGUGAGUAACGCGUGGGUAACCUGCCUUAUACAGGGGGAUAACAGUCAGAAAUGGCUGCUAAUACCGCAUAAGCGCACAGAGCUGCAUGGCUCAGUGUGAAAAACUCCGGUGGUAUAAGAUGGACCCGCGUUGGAUUAGCUUGUUGGUGGGGUAACGGCCCACCAAGGCGACGAUCCAUAGCCGGCCUGAGAGGGUGAACGGCCACAUUGGGACUGAGACACGGCCCAGACUCCUACGGGAGGCAGCAGUGGGGAAUAUUGCACAAUGGGGGAAACCCUGAUGCAGCGACGCCGCGUGAAGGAAGAAGUAUCUCGGUAUGUAAACUUCUAUCAGCAGGGAAGAUAGUGACGGUACCUGACUAAGAAG
rnacentral:rRNA from 1 species